rnacentral:rRNA from 1 species
GACGAACGCUGGCGGCGUGCUUAACACAUGCAAGUCGAACGGAAAGGCCCUGCUUGCAGGGUACUCGAGUGGCGAACGGGUGAGUAACACGUGGGUGAUCUGCCCUGCACUUCGGGAUAAGCCUGGGAAACUGGGUCUAAUACCGGAUAGGAGCCAUUUUUAGUGUGAUGGUUGGAAAGUUUUUUCGGUGUAGGAUGAGCUCGCGGCCUAUCAGCUUGUUGGUGGGGUAAUGGCCUACCAAGGCGGCGACGGGUAGCCGGCCUGAGAGGGUGGACGGCCACAUUGGGACUGAGAUACGGCCCAGACUCCUACGGGAGGCAGCAGGGGGGAAUAUUGCACAAUGGGCGCGAGCCUGAUGCAGCGACGCCGCGAGGGGGAUGACGGCCUUCGGGUUGUAAACUCCUUUCGCUAGGGACGAAGCUUUUUGUGACGGUACCUAGAUAAGAAGCACCGGCUAACUACGUG